rnacentral:rRNA from 1 species
GACUGUAGGUGAAAGCUUUACAUCUCUUCGGAGCAUUUUACGAGGUGCUGCAUGGUUGUCGUCAGCUCGUGCCGUGAGGUGUCGGGUUAAGUCCCAUAACGAGCGCAACCCCUUACCUUUAGUUGCCAUCAGGUAAUGCUGGGGACUCUAAAGGAACUGCCUACGCAAGUAGUGAGGAAGGCGGGGAUGACGUCAAAUCAGCACGGCCCUUACGUCCAGGGCUACACACGUGCUACAAUGGCCGAUACAGAGGGCAGCUACCUGGUGACAGGAUGCAAAUCUCCAAAGUCGGUCUCAGUUCGGAUCGGAGUCUGCAACCCGACUCCGUGAAGUUGGAUUCGCUAGUAAUCGCGCAUCAGCCAUGGCGCGGUGAAUACGUUCCCGGGCCUU